AGUGAACGCUGGCGGUAGGCCUAACACAUGCAAGUCGAACGGCAGCACAGUAAGAGCUUGCUCUUACGGGUGGCGAGUGGCGGACGUGUGAGGAAUACAUCGGAAUCUACUUUUUCGUGGGGGAUAACGUAGGGAAACUUACGCUAAUACCGCAUACGACCUACGGGUGAAAGCAGGGGAUCUUCGGACCUUGCGCGAUUGAAUGAGCCGAUGUCGGAUUAGCUAGUUGGCGGGGUAAAGGCCCACCAAGGCGACGAUCCGUAGCUGGUCUGAGAGGAUGAUCAGCCACACUGGAACUGAGACACGGUCCAGACUCCUACGGGAGGCAGCAGUGGGGAAUAUUGGACAAUGGGCGCAAGCCUGAUCCAGCCAUCCCGCGUGGGUGAAGAAGGCCUUCGGGUUGUAAAGCCCUUUUGUUGGGAAAGAAAAGCAGCAGGUUAAUACCCCGCUGUUCUGACGGUACCCAAAGAAUAAGCACCGGCUAACUUCGUG
rnacentral:rRNA from 1 species